CUAAGCGAAAGCGUCCAUUUAUUCAAUGUCUGCUGAUGGGGGAAUAGCGUCUCUCGUUACUUGUUGAAAUUGGCUGUAUUUAUGAAGGCGCAGAAAAUAUUUUGGAUGGAAAUUCCAUGAGGACUUGAUAUGGAAAAGCCUAUGAGACUUUGUAACUAUAAAUGUCAAUACUGUUCUUUACCAUGAAAAGAAGAGAUGAAGCCCCAAAAUGAAUUUGAAUAUUUUUUUGAAGGAAAAACAUGAAACUAUUGAAGAUAUGUUUUUUAAGACAUCCAAUAAAGGAGAAGACGGAUGAUGUAUUUACAUCACACAAUAGUAAAAAGCAAAGGAGUGGUGAUGGGAAACACCAAAUGAUGCUGGACUGUUGAAUUGUGAAAAUAUGAAAAAAAAAAAUGGAAGAAAAUGUCUAUGCUAAAGAAGUGGGCAUUUUAUCGAUUGAGCAGUAAUAUAUUUUUUAUUGAUUUAAAUAAAAAUGAAACAGAAAAUCAUUUGCUGUAUUAUUAUUGCU